UAGGGAAUAUUGCACAAUGGAGGAAACUCUGAUGCAGCGACGCCGCGUGAGUGAUGAAGGCCUUCGGGUCGUAAAGCUCUGUCGCAGGGGAAUAACACAAUGAAUGUACCCUGUAAGAAAGGAUCGGCUAACUUCGUGCCAGCAGCCGCGGUAAGACGAGGGAUCCUAGCGUUGUUCGGAAUUAUUGGGCGUAAAGCGGAUGUAGGUGGCUUUGUAAGUCAGAUGUGAAAGCCCAGGGCUCAACCCUGGAAGUGCAUUUGAUACUGCGAAGCUUGAGUGUCGGAGAGGUUACUAGAAUUGUUGGUGUAGUGGUGAAAUACGUAGAUAUCAACAGGAAUACCGGAGGCGAAGGCGGGUAACUGGCCGAACACUGACACUGAGAUCCGAAAGCGUGGGGAUCAAACAGG
rnacentral:rRNA from 1 species